GCCCAAUGAUGACACCAAGGCGAAUGCGAGCUCGUUGGGUAAGAGUCUGAGCUCUUCUGUGCUCCUAUUGGCUGGUAAUCUUGGCUGGGCAGGGGAGAUUUGCUGCUUUGCUGUAAGGGCCCGCCUACAUAAAGCAAGUUCUUCCUAUCAAGCUCUUCCUCAGAGAAAUGCAGGAGAGAUUUGGGAAGGAUGAUCAUAAUGUGUGUGUGUGUGUGGACACAGGUUGAAGCUCAGUUCUCUAUAAUGUCCAAUGAGCUAUGAGCUAGUUCUUUUUUGUAAUCUGAGGGCA